CUUUUGUCAGCCUCACCAGUGUCUACCAGUUGCCACUUCUGGUCCAUUUGCAUAUAACACUGGAGAAGUGUUCCUUUAUCUUUGUGAAGCCCUUAACAUUCAAGGAGCCACUACUGCUUCUAUGCUGCUGAAAAAUACAAGACACUGCCUCUACCUCUGCAUCUGUCCUUUGCUUUUUGCUUGGAAACUAUCACAUCAAAUCACACUGAGAUCAGUUCCUACUGAGCUCUCACUGGCAAACUAUCAGUAGAAGAAGCCUGGCUUCUUUCUCUGCUAGUGUUGGCGUCUCCCUGCUUUCUUCCUUUCAAAUGAUGGUAUUAGAUCUGUCUUUCUCUACUACGAGCUGCAAUGCCCCUGUUACAGAAAAAAAAGAUUUGAGGAGACAGCUUGAAGCACCAUGGUUGUUUUCUUAGAAGUUCUCUGUAAAAUUUUUCAUGGUAUAUGAUCUUAAAAAUUAAAAACAAAAUUUACUGAAAAAUCGUCAAUUUCUUCCAAUAUGCCUUUGCAAUCAUUACUAUGAACAAACAAAA
rnacentral:lncRNA from 1 species